rnacentral:rRNA from 1 species
CCUACGGGUGGCUGCAGUAGGGAAUCUUCCACAAUGGGCGAAAGCCUGAUGGAGCAACGCCGCGUGGGUGAUGAAGGUCUUCGGAUCGUAAAACCCUGUUGUUAGAGAAGAAAGUGCGUGAGAGUAACUGUUCACGUGUCGACGGUAUCUAACCAGAAAGCCACGGCUAACUACGUGCCAGCAGCCGCGGUAAUACGUAGGGGGCAAGCGUUAACCGGAUUUAGUGGGCGUAAAGGGAACGCAGGCGGUUUUGUAAGUCUGAUGUGAAAGCCCUCGGCUUAACCGGGGUAGUGCAUUGGAGACUGGGGGACUUGAGUGCAGAAGAGGGGGGUGGAAUUCCAUGUGUAGCGGUGAAAUGCGUAGAUAUAUGGAAGAACACCAGUGGCGAAGGCGGCUUUCUGGUCUGGAACUGACGCUGAGGUUCGAAAGCGUGGGUAGCAAACAGGAUUAGAUACCCCAGUAGUC